UACGGAGGGUGCAAGCAUUAAUCGGAUUGAUUGGGCGUAAAGGGCGCGUAGGCGGGGAGGCAAGUCAGAUGUGAAAUCCCGGGGCUCAACCCCGGAACAGCAUUUGAAACUGCCUUUCUUGAGGGUAGGCGGAGAAAACGGAAUUCCACAAGUAGCGGUGAAAUGCGUAGAUAUGUGGAAGAACACCAGUGGCGAAAGCGGUUUUCUAGCUUAUACCUGACGCUGAGGCGCGAAAGCAAGGGGAGCAAAC
rnacentral:rRNA from 1 species